rnacentral:lncRNA from 1 species
GCUGCUCAAUAGCUGGAUCUAACUGAUAGCUUAAAAAGGAGAGGUUCACUAAUAGCACCAAUUGCUCUAGAAGAGAAGGUAGAGAGACUUUCGGACAGAAGGGGGAAGAGUUAAUUGCCAAGGGGGUUUGACUAAUGCAAGAGAGAGAAGAGAGGAAGGAGAAAUAGGAAGGAUUCCCAUGGCUGGUCCAAACAUGGCAUCGAGAAAGGGGAGAGGGAAUCCAGGAAUCGGAGAAGAGUGGGUGUAAUACCCCGCCCCAAUCUCAAAGCAACAGCCAAAAAAAAGAAAGAGAUAUUUGGGCCAGCACAUGCUGGAAUUUCCGUGGAAA